CAUUAAAACACUGGUUCUCAUAUGAUCAGUGAAGUUAAGCAAUGUCAAGCCUGGUCAGUACCUAGGUGGGUAACAGUUUGGGAAUACCAGGUGUUGG